UAUGGAGGAAGAGUGUUUGCAGGACGUGUGCAAACCUUCCUCUUCCUCGCUGUAGUUCCGCAUCGGUUUUUGCUAACAGGACGUCGGGAGGCGAUGAACAACAAAGGGCCUUGAGUGUGUUGGUGUGCACCUCGGAUGACGAGCGUUUACCAGUCUAGUAAAUCCAGAGCAGGCGGCCGCAUUAGCUGCCAGAACGACGCUUUGUGCAUCGGAGAGCAAUGACUCGUAACACCGAUGAGGGGGACAGGGGGGUGGAGGGACAGGGUGGGCUUGAUUUACCUCUCAGCGGGGCGAUUUCUGCCUGCUGGGAUGUUAACGUCCAUCCUUCAUAGGCUGCUCUUGUCAGACACCUGGAAUUUUAGUGUUUUGUGAAGAGCAAAUAUGGAAAACAAAAAAUAGGACAAACAGAAAGAGAUGGUGGGUUAAGAGGCGGGCUACGUCCAGGACAGACGGGCACCCAUCCGCUUACCAUAAAGCAAGACGCGGCAGGAGGCAGGGAAGCAUCCGUCGCUGCAGAAGGAGCAGGUGCAGAGCGCCGUGGUGGCCGUCCUCAGUCAUCCGACUCUAAUCAGACCAAGAAAUGAUGGCUCGCACAGUUUGUCCAGUCCCGGGGGGGUCGGCCAGAACAGCUUGUCAUCGCUCACUUUAUUCAUCUCCUCCAUCUCCCCGCUGAAAGCCAUGGGGUGUUCAAUUAGCCAUCUGCUAGCACGACCGACAGCCGCCGUUUGUCCAGGCAGCCUGAUGACGCCGACCUCUGGGAUGAGGACAGGCCUGUGGAGGGUCGUAGACAAGAGUGGCUGCAUGUUAAGGAGGAGCACAGGUGGGUCUUGAAGUUCUCUUACGACCACCUUGAGGGACUUCAUGAAAAUGGAACACAAUACAUGAUAAGAGUACCGCAAGCUUCCCCACAAAUCCCUAACAAAAAUUCAACUGGUCCAGAGCUCAGCUGCUCAGACAAUUACACCAAGAAAAAAAAAACAAUUUCACCACAUUAUGCCUGUGCUUCAGCAGCUCCACUGGUUCCCCGUUCAAUUCAGAAAUGACUCCAAACUCCUGCUGUUCACUUUCAAGGUCAUCUACUACCUGGUUCCCCCAUCCAGUGUCCUCCCGCUCACUCAGAUCCUCAUCCUCUCUUUGUCUGACUGUUCCUCAAACCCGCUGCCUCAGCAUCAUGGUGGGGAGCAGAGCCUUCCAUGUUUUUAAACAAACCAUCUCACUAUAAGUGAUGUUUCUUUUUGAUUUUAACAUUUGUCAUACUUAUAUUUUUUAAUCUUGUUAUACAUGUACAAUGUCCUUGAGAGACCUGAAAAGUGCUUUAAAUAAAAUG